AUGCCACCGCGAGCGGCGACCUCGCGCGGCUGCGCCCGGCCUCCGCUAACACGGCGCAGGGGAAGCGUGGCCCGGGGGAUCCUCUGCGCUCGGCCCCGGGCGCCCACGGUCCCAUGCCACCUCCGCACGCCGCGCGGCCGCUGCAAGUCGCGAGACACCCUGGGAGCUGCAAGCAGCCCGCGAGAGGAGGCGCCGGACCAAGUGGGCACGCCACCAGCCACCACCCAGCUGCUGAACCACCGCCUCCCAGCCAGGUCGCCAGGCCACCGCAGGCAGCCUGCCCCUUUUCUAGAAAAGCCCCCUCCCCCCUUUCCCUCCAAUGCACUCACCUGCGUCUGGGCGCAGUUCCUCUCGCGCUACACGCGGCGUCCCCAGGCACGUCCACGCCUGUGCACGCUGCCGGGCGCGACUGGCCCCGCUCGCCUCCCGCCGCCCCCAACCGGCUUGUGCCCACGGGAGGGGCGGUGCCACCUCCGAGGCGCCCAAUGCCCUCCACUCCCGCCGCGAGGGGCCGAGCUCCGGGAACUUCGCGCGCCGCACCUCCGCGCCCCCCGCGUUCCCGCCGGAGCCUGGCCCAGGGCUCCCACCGAGCGGAGGCCGGACUCCGCACGGCGCCGCGGCGGCGCGCACCGCCCGCGCCCGGCGCCCCCCGCAGCCUCCGGCGGGGCGCGGCCCCGCCCGUCGCCCUUCCGCGCGCCCCGCACUUGCCUGUGCCCCUCGGCGCUGCGGCGACUCCGGCUCGCGCCGCCGGCCGGCAGCACCGCCGCGGAGAAGUGGCUCCGGGCGGGCUCGGCGGAGAGGCGGCGGCGGCGGCAGCGUCCCCGGUCCUGGCGGUGGCGGCAAGGCGGGCUGGAACCCGGCGGAACGCCCGCCCCUCCCGCGCGCGCCGGCGACCGGCCUCCUCAGGCUGCCGGCAGCUGCCUCCGUGCCGCCCGGCGCCGCGGGCCCGCCGUUUGUAGCGGGCGGGGAGGAGGGGCUGGCCUGGAGGAGCGCCAGGAGGCGGGGCCGGCGGCGAGCUCGCGGCGCCGCAGCUCCCGCCGCCGGUGCGUGCCCUGCCCGGCCGCCCCGCGGGUCCGGCCGGUGACAAGACGCCCGGCCGCGGCCGCGGGGCUCCGUGCCUCCCGACUUCCGCGGCCGAGCCGGCUCCCUGACCGGAUGCCCCGGGCCGCGCGGAGAGCCACGCGCGCCCAGGGCGGCGGGUUCCGGGUGCAAGUUUGCAACCCCGAGGUUCGGGGCGCUAACGGGGAGCCCGAGCGAUUCGCGCGGGGGCUACUUUGA
rnacentral:lncRNA from 1 species